rnacentral:tRNA from 1 species
GCUGAGGAUGUAGCUCAGUGGUAGAGUGCUUGCCUACUAUACAAGAGGCCCUAGGUUCAAUCCACAGCACAGCA